GUUAAUUUGUAAGUAAUUAAAACUAAAGCAUUUAAUAUAAUUUUUACUUCAAACUACUUAAAUUGUAUUACUAAAUUCACAUAUUUCUUCUAUGAAAUAAAUGAAUAAAUGCAUACAGUUUAUUAAUAUUAACUAGGGAGGGGGGUGCUAGGGAGUCUUUAGCAUACCCAAGUUCAAAAAAAACAGUGGUUAUCAUAAUAUUAUCUACAGAUAUAUAAAUUUCAUAUAUUACUUAUUACAGUGAAAUACCAGUUAACAAUGAAACAUAAACUGAAUUCGUAUUUUUAAAUACUACGCGUUAUACAGGUCACCAAUGGUAGAUCCAGCAUUUAUUUACAGCUAGGGUAUUUAUCAUGGGAAGUUAGUAAGACAGACGGUAGUUUACAUUCGAAACGCGUGGCUAUCGAUUCAAGAAGUAAAUCUGUGAUUUCGGUUCUAGUUGCAUUAGGUAUAGGAUUUAAAGUCAAACCACGGUCAAAUUAUGAGCCAUAUUAAAUAUUUUGUCCGUGUAUUUCUUCAUCAAACAUUGAUAAUUGUAUAGGUACAUGUAUACCAGAAUACGCGAUACAUAUAAAAUCAUCGAACAGAAUAAAAUUUUUUUUAUUUAUUUUGGUAACGGGUUGGCACUUGUCUUCAGUGUCCGCCCCCCCCCUCCAGAUCAAGCCUUGUGGACCAUAGGAACUUAAAUACAGUCGUAAUAUUAUCUAGGUAUUUUUCUAUAAAUCACAAUGCUUUGGGGGAUGUAUCCUCCAUAUUCGCCC